rnacentral:lncRNA from 1 species
CUCAGGACAGUCGCUGAAAUCACUGAAUGCCUCCUCAGGUCAUUUAGCACUUAUUUUAUCCAGUAUCUUUGGGCUCCUUCUCCUGGUUCUGUUUAUUCUAUUUCUCACGUGGUGCCGAGUUCAGAAACAAAAACAUCUGCCCCUCAGAGUUUCAACCAGAAGGAGGGGUUCUCUCGAGGAGAAUUUAUUCCAUGAGAUGGAGACCUGCCUCAAGAGAGAGGACCCACAUGGGACAAGAACCUCAGAUGACACCCCCAACCAUGGUUGUGAAGAUGCUAGCGACACAUCGCUGUUGGGAGUUCUUCCUGCCUCUGAAGCCACAAAAUGACUUUAGACUUCCAGGGCUCACCAGAAUCUUGAUAUGUGGGUGAUGUUAAGCCCUCCUGACCCAGCAAGUUGAAAACUCACCAUGAAGAGCAGCGGUCAAAGGAACUAGGGAAAUCCUACAGUGUGAUCAGUUUUUCUGCUGCAGGUAAGCAGAGAGCAUCCCUUUGCACUGAAUAGGCCACUGAGCCGCAUUACUGCUUAUUAAUUCCUCAUCAUUCCUGCCUCCUUUUAUGUUCUCCCUAAAUGACUAGGUUUGCGGGGCCAGGAACUUUAUUUCCCACAAUCCCUAACAGGAAGAAUCUGGGCUCGCUUCCACCAGAGAGACUUGUUCAUGGAAGAUACGGUUUCGCAAGGAUCUUUGUACUUGUCCUGAAAACUGCUAGCCUAGAUAUUACAGCAUGGUGCCCUUUAGCAGUGGUUUCCUGGGGGUUUUAAAACUUCCUGAUGAGGGUUUUGUAAGCAUAAUUAUUCCCUGUAGUAAACCACUU